rnacentral:tRNA from 1 species
GCACUGAUGGUUCAGUGGUAGAAUUCUUUCCUUUCAUGCAGGAGACUUGGGUUCAAUUCCCGGCCAGUGAA